AUGGUUGAUACCGUAGACGGAGCGGAGGAACACUCCGGUGUGAAUCCUAUCUCGUCUACGGGCGAUGGGGGAACUUCAGUCUCUCGUGAGGAGUUCAAUGUAGCCUUGGAGACAUUGAAAACCUCCAUGACGACCGAAGUUGAAAGCAUGUUUACUAAAUUUCUUGAGGGGCUUAAACUCUCCACCGCACCGUUGAAAGUGGGGGAUCCCGCCAACAAGGUGUCGGAUGCUAUCCCCGACAAGGGGGAAGCUAGUAGUGAAAAGGCUGCUUCUUCUAGUGGCAAGAAUGGCACCGGCAUCUUUGCCCAUGUGGAACCACCACUUAUUUAUGGUGGACCGGUUCCUUCUACUCAUUUGAAUCAUGCCGGUCCUCCUCCUAAGAUUGUGAAAAAUGAGGAUUUUGAUUCUUAG
rnacentral:rRNA from 1 species